rnacentral:rRNA from 1 species
UCUGGCGGCAGUAGCGCGGUGGUCCCACCUGACCCCAUGCCGAACUCAGAAGUGAAACGCCGUAACGCCGA